rnacentral:rRNA from 3 species
GGUGACGAGCGGCGGACGGGUGAGUAAUGUCUGGGAAACUGCCUGAUGGAGGGGGAUAACUACUGGAAACGGUAGCUAAUACCGCAUAACGUCGCAAGACCAAAGUGGGGGACCUUCGGGCCUCAUGCCAUCAGAUGUGCCCAGAUGGGAUUAGCUAGUAGGUGGGGUAACGGCUCACCUAGGCGACGAUCCCUAGCUGGUCUGAGAGGAUGACCAGCCACACUGGAACUGAGACACGGUCCAGACUCCUACGGGAGGCAGCAGUGGGGAAUAUUGCACAAUGGGCGCAAGCCUGAUGCAGCCAUGCCGCGUGUGUGAAGAAGGCCUUCGGGUUGUAAAGCACUUUCAGCGGGGAGGAAGGCGUUAAGGUUAAUAACCUUGUUGAUUGACGUUACCCGCAGAAGAAGCACCGGCUAACUCCGUGCCAGCAGCCGCGGUAAUACGGAGGGUGCAAGCGUUAAUCGGAAUUACUGGGCGUAAAGCGCACGCAGGCGGUCUGUCAAGUCGGAUGUGAAAUCCCCGGGCUCAACCUGGGAACUGCAUUCGAAACUGGCAGGCUAGAGUCUUGUAGAGGGGGGUAGAAUUCCAGGUGUAGCGGUGAAAUGCGUAGAGAUCUGGAGGAAUACCGGUGGCGAAGGCGGCCCCCUGGACAAAGACUGACGCUCAGGUGCGAAAGCGUGGGGAGCAAACAGGAUUAGAUACCCUGGUAGUCCACGCCGUAAACGAUGUCGAUUUGGAGGUUGUGCCCUUGAGGCGUGGCUUCCGGAGCUAACGCGUUAAAUCGACCGCCUGGGGAGUACGGCCGCAAGGUUAAAACUCAAAUGAAUUGACGGGGGCCCGCACAAGCGGUGGAGCAUGUGGUUUAAUUCGAUGCAACGCGAAGAACCUUACCUGGUCUUGACAUCCACAGAACUUUCCAGAGAUGGAUUGGUGCCUUCGGGAACUGUGAGACAGGUGCUGCAUGGCUGUCGUCAGCUCGUGUUGUGAAAUGUUGGGUUAAGUCCCGCAACGAGCGCAACCC